UGAAUUUUGAAAAAAAACAUGAAUUUAGUUUGAGCAUUAGAUAUUUGGAGUAUUUAUAUUAUGUGAUAUAAAAUUAUGAGUGGAUUUUGAAAAUAGUCACUUUGAAAUAGUAAAUUUAAAAAUUACUCACUAAGAUAAAAAAAAAAAAAUUUAAAAUUAGCCACACUUACCAUUUUACCCUUGCAUAUAAAAAUUUAAAAAUUGCCCGCG
rnacentral:lncRNA from 1 species